AUUGAACGCUGGCGGCAGGCCUAACACAUGCAAGUCGAGCGGAUGAAGGGAGCUUGCUCCUGGAUUCAGCGGCGGACGGGUGAGUAAUGCCUAGGAAUCUGCCUGGUAGUGGGGGAUAACGUCCGGAAACGGGCGCUAAUACCGCAUACGUCCUGAGGGUGAAAGUGGGGGAUCUUCGAACCUCACGCUAUCAGAUGAGCCUAGGUCGGAUUAGCUAGUUGGUGGGGUAAAGGCCUACCAAGGCGACGAUCCGUAACUGGUCUGAGAGGAUGAUCAGUCACACUGGAACUGAGACACGGUCCAGACUCCUACGGGAGGCAGCAGUGGGGAAUAUUGGACAAUGGGCGAAAGCCUGAUCCAGCCAUGCCGCGUGUGUGAAGAAGGUCUUCGGAUUGUAAAGCACUUUAAGUUGGGAGGAAGGGCAGUAAGUUAAUACCUUGCUGUUUUGACGUUACCAACAGAAUAAGCACCGGCUAACUUCGUG
rnacentral:rRNA from 1 species